AAUUGACAACCCUGAGAAGAUUUGUCUCUCCGGAGUCCACUGGAACUAUUAUUGUGUCUGCAUUAGGAUGAUGACCAAAAUGUUAUUUCCCAGCUAAGUCAGUGUAUGAUGGCAUAUUAGUCAUGUUUCCCAUAUGACACAGGUGACCUAUUCUUAUUUACGCAAGAAUAACUUUGAUGCAUAUGUGCUGCAUUGCUGCUUCCACCUACUCAUUGGCAUUUUUGUUUUUAUGGCUAUCUAUGUUUAGAGUUACAUGGAGCUGGACCAGCAAAGAUUCAGAAACCAACCUCUGCUAGAGCAAUUGUAAAGAUCACCAGGUUGACCAUUGAUUGUGUAAGCAUCGGAAACAUUAGGAGCCGCUCCUGUUCUUGUGGCUUGUCUCACAACAUCAAUGGGAUCCGCAUUCCACCAUUCACCUGAGCACCAUCAACAU